UCCGGUUUGUCACCGGCAGUCCCAAUAGAGUGCCCUUUCGUAGCAACUAUUGGCAAGGGUUGCGCUCGUUGCGGGACUUAACCCAACAUCUCACGACACGAGCUGACGACAGCCAUGCAGCACCUGUGUUCUGGCUCUCUUUCGAGCACCCCCGACUUUCAUCAGGGUUCCAGACAUGUCAAGGGUAGGUAAGGUUUUUCGCGUUGCAUCGAAUUAAUCCACAUCAUCCACCGCUUGUGCGGGUCCCCGUCAAUUCCUUUGAGUUUUAAUCUUGCGACCGUACUCCCCAGGCGGUCAACUUCACGCGUUAGCUGCGUUACCAAGGAAAUGAAUCCCCGACAACUAGUUGACAUCGUUUAGGGCGUGGACUAC
rnacentral:misc_RNA from 1 species